GUGUCAGCCGCCGCGGUAAAACGUAGGUGGCGAGCGUUAUCCGGAUUUACUGGGCGUAAAGCGCGUUCGGGCGGCUUGACAAGUCGGGCAUGAAAUCUCUCGGCUCAACCGGGAGAGGCUGUCCGAAACUGUUGGGCUUGAGGGCAGUAGAGGCAGGUGGAAUUCCCGGUGUAGUGGUGAAAUGCGUAGAGAUCGGGAGGAACACCAGUGGCGAAAGCGGCCUGCUGGGCUGCACCUGACGCUGAAACGCGAAAGCUAGGGGAGCGAACGGGAUUAGAUACCCUCGUAGUCC
rnacentral:rRNA from 1 species